rnacentral:rRNA from 1 species
AUGCAAGUCGAGCGGAGACAGUGAGUAGCUUGCUAUGAGCUGUUUUAGCGGCGGACGGGUGAGUAACGCGUGAGCAACCUUUCCCAGACAGGGGAAUAACACGCCGAAAGGUGUACUAAUACCGCAUAAGACCACGGUUUCACAUGGAACUGAGGUAAAAGAUUUAUCGGUUUGGGGUGGGCUCGCGUCCGAUUAGGUAGUUGGUGAGGUAACGGCCCACCAAGCCGACGAUCGGUAGCCGACCUGAGAGGGUGAUCGGCCACAUUGGGACUGAGACACGGCCCAAACUCCUACGGGAGGCAGCAGUGGGGAAUAUUGGGCAAUGGGGGGAACCCUGACCCAGCAACGCCGCGUGGAGGAAGAAGGUUUUCGGAUCGUAAACUCCUGUCCUUGGAGACGAGUAGAAGACGGUAUCCAAGGAGGAAGCCCCGGCUAACUACGUGCCAGCAGCCGCGGUAAUACGUAGGGGGCAAGCGUUGUCCGGAAUAAUUGGGCGUAAAGGGCGCGUAGGCGGCUCGGUAAGUCUGGAGUGAAAGUCCUGCUUUUAAGGUGGGAAUUGCUUUGGAUACUGUCGGGCUUGAGUGCAGGAGAGGUUAGUGGAAUUCCCAGUGUAGCGGUGAAAUGCGUAGAGAUUGGGAGGAACACCAGUGGCGAAGGCGACUAACUGGACUGUAACUGACGCUGAGACGCGGAAGUGUGGGGAGCAAACAGGAUUAGAUACCCUGGUAGUCCGCACUGUAAACGAUGAAUGCUAGGUGUAGGGGGUAUCGACCCCUUCUGUGCCGCAGUCAACACAAUAAGCAUUCCGCCUGGGGAGUACGGCCGCAAGGUUGAAACUCAAAGGAAUUGACGGGGGCCCGCACAAGCAGCGGAGCAUGUGGUUUAAUUCGACGCAACGCGAA